UUUGGGUUUUAAAUUGCAUCUAUGUUGUGGCACUAUUGUAACCUAGAAUCUGCUGUUCCUGUAGCAUGGCCAUGCGUUUAGAAGAUGAAGAGGGGACAAAAAUGGCUAUGGCAAUUGGAGGGAGGGAGAUUCGACCCUGUGACGCCUGUGGAACAAAGAGAGCUCGUUGGUUCUGUGGAGCAGAUGGAGCUUAUCUCUGCCAUGCCUGUGACACCUCUGUUCACUCAGCUAAUUCUGUUGCCUGCCGCCAUGAAAGAGUUCGAUUGACCCAUAAUGGAAUUCUGUCCUCUGGUCUCAUGGCCGAUGGGCAGAGCUCAUGGCCUCGAAAGAGGAUUCGUUCCAAGCGCCGCCAGAAGAUUGGGACAGGACUUCUCUGCUUGAAUGCCAAACAGGGAUUGAAGAAGUCCACUAGCCAAAAUCAUGGUGAAUUCGGCCCUGAUACUGAUCUCAAUGUCGAGCUGUUCUUAGACACUGAGUCGGAGAUCUUUUCAUUCCAUGUCGAUGAAUUAGCUGCCCCAGAGUCCCAUGGCGAGGAAAAUUGUUUGGACUCCCUAUACAAGAAUGAUGGCAUUGGGUUCAAGGAUUGUCAAGAUUCGAGCCCUGUUGAUAGCGAGGAGCAGACCUUCAGUUGGGCAGUUUUCGACCGGGUGAAGGUCGAGGAGAGCGAUUAUGAAGAUAACAAAGUCGAAGUGUCAGAGGAGCUCUUUGAUUUGAAUAUAGAUCUUUCUGACUUUGCAGUCAAUACGGAGGAUGAUGUUGUGAAGGUGAAUGACUGCAAUUUCAAUGGCGAGGAGAAGAGACUGUGUUUGAUGCUGAAUUACGAAGAUGUUUUGAGCGCCUGGUCUGACAGGGGGUCGCCUUGGGCCUACCACAACACUCUGCAAGAGGAAACGGCCUCUGAAGGAACGACAGGGACAAUCUAUGUAGUUGUUCCAGAUUUGAACAUAGGGAAUGAAGGGCAGGUAGAUCAUGCUGAAGGUGUGCCGGUAAUCAACUGCUACUACAACGAAGAAAAGAAGUACGGAUGUCGUGAAGGGAGAGAAGCCCGUGUAAUCAGAUAUCGUGAAAAGCGUCGGAAUAGACUGUUUUCCAAACGAAUAAGAUAUCAAGUCCGGAAACUCAAUGCAGAGAAACGACCGCGGAUGAAGGGUCGAUUUGUAAAGAGUACGAGUGAUGUUUUGUUGGAUUGAACGGCCCACCAAAACAGAAGUAAAAUUCAAACAGCUGGACAGCAGACCACACAAAAGCCAAACUUCUGCAUCUUCAUGGAAGUUCUGUUUUUUCAUCAUUUUUCCCUGAAUUCUGUACAUGGAAUUCAAAAAACCGGAUUUUGGAGGCGAAAUUCGCUGUUAUGUUACAUCUUAUCCUCUACUUUAUAAGGCUAGUUAUUAUUCACAAGGAGGUAGUUGUGAUUUUUUUUUUUAAAACCACACUAUCCUGAACAUUGAGUGGACGUAAAUGACAAAGAUGUUUAAGUCAAUUUUUGUACUCAUCAAAAAUGCUGAUUCGACAACCAGAAGAGUCAUCAUCAAUUGAGCUUGUGCUGUGACAUAAAGCUCCUUUUGAAAGGGAUGUCACGUGCAACGUUGAAAUUCUAUGCACGACUCCCUGGUUGGGCUCAUUAUCCUUUGGUAUGUUGAGUUUAAGUGUAGUCAUGCCACCCAACCAAAAUUACAGGAUUAAUAGCAUGUAUUGAACUUAUAAUUUUUA